CAGGAGUUGCCAUCCUGUCUCAUUUCUCCUUUGAAGUUCUAUUUCGAUGCGUGGCAAAUUCUAGCAAUGACUUGAGAUUGAUUCAGGCCUGGAUGGGAGGGAGGGCAGAGGUGGUGGGUAUUGGGACAUAGACUCCCUGACUGGAAUCUUCUCUUGCCACUCUUUCUGGGUGAUUAUUAUGGCAAUAUUCAUAAGAACCCUGUAUCCAGAAUAUCGCUGUACCUGUGAAUGAAGUGCAUUUGCUCCAAGUAGACACAGCCUUUUGAAAUAUCUACACAAAGGUCUACAAGGUCAACCAAGAAAACACCAAAUUGCUAUGGUCUUUAAACCAGAGAACCAUGCUGAUAACAUCCAAAAGUGCUGAUGACCCCUAGCCCCUGCCAGUGCAUCCCCAGAUGGAGGCAGUCAAGUCCAUUGCCACAGAAGAAUCCAACCAGAGCCGACAUCCCAAGACAAUCUCAAAGAGAGCAUACCUGAAUCCAAAUGCUAACUGCUCCAGAACCUGCCCAGGCCCCACUAUGUUCCUGUUAUGAGAUUCAUGGAUAAAUAUCGUUGAUAAAAUCUUAACAGUAAAAAAAACCGCAAUGGUGAGUGUAUGUCUAUGUUUAUUGAGCUCUUACUGCCUGCCAGGUCCCAUGCUAGGAAGUUUAUAUAAAUUAAAUCAGCAUGAUACGAUCACUUGCCAGUGUUUGCAAAAAUGACUGAAUGGAGCUUUGAGGAAACGAGAGGGAAUAGUCCAGAUUAAGCCCCAGCCCUGCC